AGAACUGAUCUAAACUACUCGGAUUCAUGUUUCUUAAUAAUAAUGGAAUUUGUUGAAUUAUGUCUCGUUUUAUAAAUUUUAGUGUAGGAAAGUACUUGGAUAUGGCCAGCUAAAAAAAUAUAACAGAAGCAGCCUAUUAGAGAGUUUAGGUAUAUGGUUUCGGACCUGAAAUGUUCUCUAAGCAAGUAAUGUUUAUUCUUAUAAUAUUGAUUUCAUCAUAUCUAACCGAAAGCACCAUGUCCAAAGAUAAUAUGUUUAAAUGAAUAAUUAAAAUUAGUGUAUCGGAUUUGUCAAUUAGAUCUAAACACGUCAUGAUGGGCAUAAUUAACUAUUACUAUAUUUUCUUAAUGCCUUUCACACUAACGUCACUUUAUUUAUAAAUUAUAAUGCAUUAAUAUACAAAGCAAUAAAUCUGUUUACCGUCGUCAAAAAAUAUAGUAAAGAGCCAAAGACAAUCCUAAAGUAAAGUCAAGUAAUUGUAUUCAAAAUCGAAAACUUAGCUUUAAUCUUUAGUAUUCAAUUCAUACCUCUUGAGGGAUUUGUGCCUCCG